CGUCAACAAAAUUCGCAACAUCACCAUAACCAGCAGCACCCUUGGCACAGAAAUAGGAUCCGGAAUCCUCGUCCCGGAGGUCGGUCAUGGUCAGCGUCACCGAGCUCUGCCCGCUGUCCCUGGAGAUCGUGACCCGGCCCUUGAAUGGUGACGAGUACCAGGUGCUGCCACCAGCGUUGAUGUAGGCGACGUAUUCCAGCCCCUGCCCGGGUCUCUGGCGGAUCCAUAACAGGUCAGAACUC